AGCUCUGUAAGCGUAUACCAAAGUUGUUGCAGUUAAAACGCUCGUAGUCGGAUUUUGGCGUGGUGCUUAUUAGAUGCCCAACAUUUUUGGUGUGUCGAUUUAUAGUCCCGCCUUUGUGGAGGGGGAUGUGGUGGUGCUUUAUUGCAUUGCUGCGUUUCCACCACUGUUUACUGUGAAAAAAUUAGAGUGUUCAAAGCGAGCGAUUGCCAAAUGAAUAGAUUAGCAUGGAAUAAUAGAAUAGGACCUGGUUCUGUUUUAUUGGUUUGUCGGAUUCAGGUAAUGAUUAAGAGGGACGGUCGGGGGCAUUUGUAUUCCAGGGUUAGAGGUGAAAUUCUUAGAUCCUUGGAAGACAAACAGCUGCGAAAGCGUCUGCCAAGGACGUUUUCAUUGAUCAAGAACG
rnacentral:rRNA from 1 species